UAGCGUAGGGGGCAAGCGUUGUCCGGAUUUAUUGGGCGUAAAGAGCGUGUAGGCGGCCAGAUAGGUCUGUUGUGAAAACUCGAGGCUCAACCUCGAGACGCCGAUGGAACCAUUUGGCUAGAGUCCGGAAGAGGAGAGUGGAAUUCCUGGUGUAGCGGUGAAAUGCGCAGAUAUCAGGAAGAACACCCGUGGCGAAGGCAGAUCUCUGGGCCGUAACUGACGCUGAGGAGCGAAAGUGUGGGGAGCGAACAGG
rnacentral:rRNA from 1 species